rnacentral:rRNA from 1 species
UACGUAGGGGGCAAGCGUUAUCCGGAAUCACUGGGCGUAAAGGGUGCGUAGGCGGCCUGACAAGUCAGAGGUGAAAGGCUACGGCUUAACCGUAGUAAGCCUUUGAAACUGUUGGGCUUGAGUGCAGGAGAGGUAAGUGGAAUUCCUAGUGUAGCGGUGAAAUGCGUAGAUAUUAGGAGGAACACCAGUGGCGAAGGCGACUUACUGGACUGUAACUGACGCUGAGGCACGAAAGCGUGGGGAGC